rnacentral:lncRNA from 1 species
CAGUGGAUCGAUGGUGGGGAGGCGGGAUGAGUUGCUGGACUGCAGUGAGUGGAGCGUUGGAAACGAAAUUCCCAGAUCUGAUACCAAAAGGCAUCACCACAUUACACGGUGAGAUGGAGAAAGAGAGAGAGAGAGAUAGCGAGAGGCAGAGAGAGAUCUAGGGCAGAGAGAGAUCGAGAGCAAAGGAGAUCGAGUGUGAGAGAUGGAGAGAGAGAUAGGGGGUUUACCUGAGAUGGAGGAGUGGCGAUGCGACGAGCACGGCGGCGGCGCGGUGGAACUCGUCGGAGAACAGGAUUGAACAAGAUUUAAAAACCCUAGGUAGUUACUAAUUUAAAUUAAGGGAAAGAAAAAAGAAAAAAAGGAGGAGGGGAGAGAGACGCCAGCCUCGCCGCGCCGGAGGCGACGAAAACCGGCGACGUUCGCCGGAGAAAUUUGGGAGAAGAAAACGGCAG